rnacentral:rRNA from 1 species
AUCGAUGAAGAACGCAGCGAAAUGCGAUAAGUAAUGCGAAUUGCAGAUUUCAGUGAGUCAUCGNAUYUUUGAACGCACAUUGCGCCCGCCGGCAUUCCGGCGGGCAUGCCUGUUCGAGCGUCAUUUCAACCCUCAAGCCCGCUUUUCUGUGGGCUUGGUGUUGGGGGAUCACCGGUAGGCCCUUCUCGGGGCUGAUGGCGACCCCUGAAAACCAGUGGCGGUCCCGCCCGCGGCAACCUUUGCGUAGUAGCACAAACCUCGCAUGUGGUUCCCGGCGGUGACCAAGCCGUAAACAAACCCAUUAUUUCAUGAGUUGACCUCGGAUCAGGUAGGAAUACCCGCUGAACUUAAGCAUAUCAAUAAGCGGAGGAAAAGAAACCAACAGGGAUUGCCCCAGUAACGGCGAGUGAAGCGGCAACAGCUCAAAUUUGAAAUCUGGCCCCUAGGGUCCGAGUUGUAAUUUGUAGAGGAUGCUUUUGGCAAGGUUCCUUCCGAGUCCACUGGAACGUGGCGCCGGAGAGGGUGAGAGCCCCGUACGGUUGGACGCCGAGCCUUUGUAAAGCUCCUUCGACGAGUCGAGUAGUUUGGGAAUGCUGCUCUAAACGGGAGGUGUACUCCUUCUAAAGCUAAAUAUAGGCCAGAGACCGAUAGCGCACAAGUAGAGUGAUCGAAAGAUGAAAAGCACUUAGAAAAGAGGGUUAAAUAGUACGUGAAAUUGCUGAAAGGGAAGCGCUUGUGACCAGACUUGAACCUGGCGGAUCACCCGACUCCGGUCGGGGCAUACCGCCGGCUCAGGCCAGCACCGGUUCGUCCCGGGGGGUAAAAAAGGUAGGAAUGUGGCUCUUCGGAGUGUUAUAGCCUCCUAANUACCCUGGGGUGGACCGAGGCUCGCGCUCUUGCAAGGNUGCUGGNGUNAUGGUCAUCAGCGGCCCNUCNUGAAACNCG